rnacentral:rRNA from 1 species
GAUGAACGCUAGCGGCAGGCUUAACACAUGCAAGUCGAGGGGUAUAGUUCUUCGGAACUAGAGACCGGCGCACGGGUGCCUAACGCGUAUGCAAUCUACCUUUUACAGGGGGAUAGCCCAGAGAAAUUUGGAUUAAUGCCCCAUAGUAUGUUAGAGUGGCAUCAUUUUAACAUUAAAGUUCCAACGGUAAAAGAUGAGCAUGCGUCCCAUUAGCUAGAUGGUAAGGUAACGGCUUACCAUGGCGACGAUGGGUAGGGGUCCUGAGAGGGGGAUCCCCCACACUGGUACUGAGACACGGACCAGACUCCUACGGGAGGCAGCAGUGAGGAAUAUUGGACAAUGGGCGCAAGCCUGAUCCAGCCAUGCCGCGUGCAGGAAGACGGUCCUAUGGAUUGUAAACUGCUUUUGUACAGGAAGAAGCACUCCCUCGUGAGGGAGCUUGACGGUACUGUAAGAAUAAGGAUCGGCUAACUCCGUGCCAGCCGCCGCAGUAAGAC